GACGAACCGAGCGAACGUUGUUCGGAAUCACUGGGCUUAAAGGGCGCGUAGGCGGGCUGUCAAGUCUGGGGUGAAAUCCCGCGGCUCAACCGUGGAACUGCCUCAGAUACUGACGGUCUCGAGGGAGAUAGGGGCGAGCGGAACUGUGAGUGGAGCGGUGAAAUGCGUUGAUAUUCACAGGAACUCCGGUGGCGAAGGCGGCUCGCUGGAUCUCUUCUGACGCUGAGGCGCGAAAGCUAGGGGAGCGAACAGG
rnacentral:rRNA from 1 species